UACGAAGGGGGCUAGCGUUGCUCGGAAUCACUGGGCGUAAAGGGCGCGUAGGCGGCCUGAUAAGUCGGGGGUGAAAGCCUGUGGCUCAACCACAGAAUUGCCUUCGAUACUGUCUGGCUUGAGACCGGAAGAGGUAAGUGGAACUGCGAGUGUAGAGGUGAAAUUCGUAGAUAUUCGCAAGAACACCAGUGGCGAAGGCGGCUUACUGGUCCGGUUCUGACGCUGAGGCGCGAAAGCGUGGGGAGCAAACAGG
rnacentral:rRNA from 1 species